CUCCUCCUCACAUUGGACAAACAAUCGUGAUCAUACCUUGGGGCCUUUCCACAUCUUAUCCCUUCUGCUUUCUGAAGGACACCCAUAUGUUUCAUUCCCUUCCUGUUUCAGUCCUCAGAUUAAUAUCACCUUAUUAUAAAUAGGGCUUUCUAUGAUCCCUCUCUGUAAAAUAACAACAUUCUCCAACUCGACCUACUCUAUCCCUAUCAUCCUACUUAAUUUUACUUCAAGACACUUAACAUCGAAAUCACAAUACAUUCAAUUGUUUAUUUAUUUAUUGUCUGCUUCCCAACCUUUCCCCACUAGACUAUAAAUAUUGUAUAAAUCUAAGAGCUUCUUUUUUUUUUUUAAUUCAAGUCACUGAUCUCACAGCAUCUAGAAUGGUAUCUGUUACAGAGCUAGAUUCAAACUCCUGAGCUCAAGGGAUCCUCCUACAUCAGCCUCUCUAGUAGCUGAAACUACAGGGCUUAUCAAAAAUAGUGAUGACGUACAUCUUGCCAAACCUAUUGCAACCUCCCCUUAGAUGUUAAUAUUAUUGCUGGAAGUUGGACUUUUCAUAGAACAUGUGAGAGAUUAGGUGAGGUUCUCAUCAUAUUAAAAAAAAACACAGAUUUCUGCUAAUUGUUACAAAUUAC
rnacentral:lncRNA from 1 species